ACUCCUACGGGAGGCAGCAGUGGGGAAUAUUGCACAAUGGGCGCAAGCCUGAUGCAGCCAUGCCGCGUGUAUGAAGAAGGCCUUCGGGUUGUAAAGUACUUUCAGCGGGGAGGAAGGCGAUAAGGUUAAUAACCUUGUCGAUUGACGUUACCCGCAGAAGAAGCACCGGCUAACUCCGUGCCAGCAGCCGCGGUAAUACGGAGGGUGCAAGCGUUAAUCGGAAUUACUGGGCGUAAAGCGCACGCAGGCGGUCUGUCAAGUCGGAUGUGAAAUCCCCGGGCUCAACCUGGGAACUGCAUUCGAAACUGGCAGGCUAGAGUCUUGUAGAGGGGGGUAGAAUUCCAGGUGUAGCGGUGAAAUGCGUAGAGAUCUGGAGGAAUACCGGUGGCGAAGGCGGCCCCCUGGACAAAGACUGACGCUCAGGUGCGAAAGCGUGGGGAGCAAACAGGAUUAGAAACCCGAGUAGUCCCAUGAC
rnacentral:rRNA from 1 species